UACGUAGGGUCCGAGCGUUGUCCGGAAUUACUGGGCGUAAAGAGCUCGUAGGUGGUUUGUCACGUUGUUCGUGAAAACCCACAGCUCAACUGUGGGCGUGCGAGCGAUACGGGCAGACUAGAGUACUGCAGGGGAGACUGGAAUUCCUGGUGUAGCGGUGGAAUGCGCAGAUAUCAGGAGGAACACCGGUGGCGAAGGCGGGUCUCUGGAACGGUACUGACGCUGAGACGCGAAAGCGUGGGGAGCGAACAGG
rnacentral:rRNA from 1 species